GGUCUUCUCGCCUCCAAUGGCCCUGGCGCCUCGAUCACACCUUCUGGCGCCUCCUGGGACAUGUCUUCGCUCCAGACUGCCCUCAUGUCGAUGCCGCAGCCCUAUUCUGGCGGUGGGGACUGGUUCUUCGACAUAGGGGCCAUCUCCCAUAUGGCCGCUGACCCCGGAUCUCAUUUCCGGGACGGUGCUCCUCCGAUGUAACAGCUCUGGUGAUCUGUACCCACUCUGCCCCGCCGCCAACGUCCAGCAGCCUCAUGCCUUGCUUGUCGCCGUCUCCACCGAUUUGUGGCAUCAGCGACUGGGACAUCUUGGACGUGCUGAGCUCUCUACAAUAACCUCCUCCUUUGAUUUUCAGUGUAAUAAAACGCAGGCACAUACUUGUCAUGCCUGCCAGAUAGGCAAAAGUGUUCGGCAGCCGUAUUCUGCUUCCUCCACCAUUGCUACUUCUCCCUUCCACUUAUUACACUGUGAUGUAUGGACCUCUCCAAUCGUUAGUAACUCUGGUUUUGCAUAUUU